GCAAAUAAUGUGUCACAUCAUAUGUCAUCAGGGAAAUGCAAAUUAAAACAGCAAUGAGAUACCGCUGCACAUCAGAAUGGCCCAAAACCAAAACACUGACAGCCUCAAAUGCUGGUGAGACUGUGGAGCAGCAGGGAUUCUCAUUCAGGGCUGGUAAUUCAAAAUGCUACAGCCAACAGCUUGGCAGUUUCUUACAAAGCUGAAUAUACUUUUACCAUAGGAUCCAGCAAUCGUACUCCUUGGCAUUUACCUGAAUCAGUUGGAAACUGUGUCCAGGAACUUCUGGAUGGCGGAACGUGUGGAGGUUCCUGGAAGGUGGCCGUCCAGGGAGGGCAUGGAAGUUCUGUGUCCCCUCCUCCAUACCUCACCCUAUGUAACUCUUCAUCUGUAUCCUUAGCAAAGACCUUUACCAUAAACGGGUAAACCUCGGUAUGCCCACGUGACUCAGCGCUGGCCAAUGGAACACGAUCAGAAGCGGUGCGAGAUGACUCUCCCUCUUUCUCUUUCAUUGGAUGGAAUGAGGCCUUAGAAGGGAGCCAUCUUGGACCGGAUGAGGGCAACCAUCCUGAAAUGCUGGAAGACCAAGAUGCAUCUUUGGCAGAUUAUAUUUUCCAAAGAUAGAGGCCACACUAUGUCCCAUUCCACGAGUGCUGCUUCUGUGACUUUGACACUCCUCCUGUUGAGAGGUAGCAUCUAUGUCCCCUCCCCGUGAGCUGCAGCAGGAGGGCCUUUGUGACUCUCUUGACCAAUAGAGUGUGCCAGCCUUGACAGUGUGUGGCUUCCAAAGCCAGUUAAAAAAAAAAAAAUGCCUUUCACUUCCACCUUGCUCUCCUGGGAUGUUCACUCUUGGAACCCAGCCGCCGUGCUGGGAGGAAGCACAAUCAGGCCUUGGAAAGGCCCGCAUGGAGGGGAACCACAGCCCCCAGCCCAAAUCCCCUGCUGAGCUCCCAGCUGACAGACAGCACCAACUUGCCAGCCACAUGAGUGAGCUGUCCUGGAAGUGAUUCUACAGCCUCCGGGCGAGCCACCUCAGCUGAUGCCACGUGAAGCGGAGAUGAACUACCUCCACCAAGCCCUGCCCAAAUUGCGGCUCUGCGAGCAAAAUAAAUGACUGUGAUUGUUAUAAGCAAAAAAGAAAAUGGAUUCCAGUCAAAAACUUGGCCGUGAACGUUUAUAACAGCUUUAUUCAUAACUGCCAACACUUGGUGGCAACCAAGAUGUCCUUUGGUAGGUGAAUUUGUAAACAAACUGCGAUACAUCCAGACAAUGGAAUAUUAUUCAGUGCUAAAUAGAAAUGAGGCAUCAAGCCAUGAGAUGUGGAGGAAUCUUAGAUGCAUGUUACCAGGGGAAAGGAGCCAAUCUGAGAGGCUACAGACUUAAAGCUCCAACUAUGUGAUGAUCUGGAAAAGGCUCUUAUCGAAAUGGAUUUGUGUUCUCUGACCCCACGCUGCCACUGUCGCAGCCAGCUGGAGGCGGGCAGAGGCCGGCCCAAGGUGGACAUGACUGAGUAUGCCACUGCUUGUCAGGGUGCCUGCAGUCACAGCUCGGGAACAGCCAGGAGAUGGCCCUGGGUCUCUGCCACCAGCAGGGACUUCUUUGGGUGACCUGAAGCAGACAGCGGCCAGCUCUGCAGACCUGAGCACCCCAUGUGCCCCACGUGACAUGCAGCAGAACCUGGGGACCCCAGCUACCUGCCCCUCCACCCUGGGCAAGCUCUGGGUGCUGCAGGAAAAGAUGAGAACCAGCAUCGUUCCUCUUCUGCAUCUCACAUCCCAAUAAAAUAUUUAUUAUGUCAAGAAAUAAAUCUUUAAAAAAAGAGAAAAA